UCUCGGCAACGGAUAUCUCGGCUCUCGCAUCGAUGAAGAACGUAGCGAAAUGCGAUACCUGGUGUGAAUUGCAGAAUCCCGCGAACCAUCGAGUCUUUGAACGCAAGUUGCGCCCGAGGCCAUCUGGCCGAGGGCACGCCUGCCUGGGCGUCACGCCUAAAGACGCU
rnacentral:rRNA from 1 species